AUUUAUUUCAUUUAUAAUGCAAGGACAAUACCAUGUUAGAACCAACUUCUUAUAUCCAAAAUGUAAAUUCCAAAUUACAAUUCAUCGUCUUUUAUCCAAUAAAGUUCAUGACAACAAGGUGAAGAACAACAUGGCCAAAUAUGAAAUCAGCAAAAGCUCUUUCUGGAGUGAUGUUGCCAAAAUGACUGCUGUUUUGAGAAUUUACUUGCAAUCGAAGACAAAC